GAUCAUGGCUCAGGACGACCGCUGGCGGCGCGCCUAACACAUGCAAGUCGAACGAGCGAGAAAGAGCUUGCUUUCUCGAGCGAGUGGCGAACGGGUGAGUAACGCGUGAGGAACCUGCCUCAAAGAGGGGGACAACAGUUGGAAACGACUGCUAAUACCGCAUAAGCCCACGGCUCGGCAUCGAGCAGAGGGAAAAGGAGCAAUCCGCUUUGAGAUGGCCUCGCGUCCGAUUAG
rnacentral:rRNA from 1 species